rnacentral:rRNA from 1 species
GUCCACGCCGUAAACGAUGGAUACUUGUUGUUGGAGGUAUUGACCCCUUCAGUGACGAAGCUAACGCGUUAAGUAUCCCGCCUGGGGAGUACGGUCGCAAGAUUAAAACUCAAAGAAAUUGACGGGGCCCGCACAAGCGGUGGAGCAUGUGGUUUAAUUCGAUGCAACGCGAAGAACCUUACCUAGGCUUGACAUGUAUUGGAAGACUGGCAGAAAUGUCGUCGCCUUCGGGCCGAUACACAGGUGCUGCAUGGCUGUCGU